rnacentral:rRNA from 1 species
UACGGAGGGAGCUAGCGUUGUUCGGAAUUACUGGGCGUAAAGCGCACGUAGGCGGCUUUGUAAGUUAGAGGUGAAAGCCCGGGGCUCAACCCCGGAAUUGCCUUUAAGACUGCAUCGCUUGAAUCCGGGAGAGGUGAGUGGAAUUCCGAGUGUAGAGGUGAAAUUCGUAGAUAUUCGGAAGAACACCAGUGGCGAAGGCGACUCACUGGCCCGUUACUGACGCUGAGGCGCGAAAGCGUGGGGAGCAAACAGG